rnacentral:tRNA from 1 species
AGCAGGGUGGCCUAGUGGGUAAAUCACGGGCCUGGGAGCCAGAAGACCUGGGUUCUAAUCCUAGCCCAGCCA